UACGGAGGGUGCAAGCGUUGCUCGGAAUUACUGGGCGUAAAGGGCGCGUAGGCGGCACUGUUAGUCAGGCGUGAAAGUCCUGGGCUCAACCUGGGAACUGCGCUUGAUACGGCAGAGCUAGAGGAUGGAAGAGGCUCGCGGAAUUCCCAGUGUAGAGGUGAAAUUCGUAGAUAUUGGGAAGAACACCGGUGGCGAAGGCGGCGAGCUGGUCCAUUACUGACGCUGAGGCGCGACAGCGUGGGGAGCAAACAGG
rnacentral:rRNA from 1 species